rnacentral:rRNA from 1 species
CCUACGGGAGGCAGCAGUGGGGAAUUUUGGACAAUGGGCGAAAGCCUGAUCCAGCAAUGCCGCGUGAGUGAAGAAGGCCUUCGGGUUGUAAAGCUCUUUUGUCAGGGAAGAAACGGUGUGGGCUAAUAUCCUGCACUAAUGACGGUACCUGAAGAAUAAGCACCGGCUAACUACGUGCCAGCAGCCGCGGUAAUACGUAGGGUGCAAGCGUUAAUCGGAAUUACUGGGCGUAAAGCGUGCGCAGGCGGUUUUGUAAGUCUGUCGUGAAAUCCCCGGGCUCAACCUGGGAAUUGCGAUGGAGACUGCAAGGCUAGAAUCUGGCAGAGGGGGGUAGAAUUCCACGUGUAGCAGUGAAAUGCGUAGAGAUGUGGAGGAACACCGAUGGCGAAGGCAGCCCCCUGGGUCAAGAUUGACGCUCAUGCACGAAAGCGUGGGGAGCAAACAGGAUUAGAUACCCUGGUAGUCCACGCCCUAAACGAUGUCUACUAGUUGUCGGGUUUUAAUAACUUGGUAACGCAGCUAACGCGUGAAGUAGGCCGCCUGGGGAGGUACGGUCGCGAGAGUUAAACGUUACGUAAGAAGUUAGAGGNGNGNGAGNGCGAGGACGACGACGAGGAGGAGG